AAAGCCGAGCCGGCAAAACAGAGGACACACAAGACCCAGAGAUGGAGAUGUUGCAAUCUAGUGCUUUUCUUCAUCUCAUCCUCUUCUUCCCGUGUGUCGUGGUUUCAGAUAUUGGAAGGGAGGAAAGAAAGGAGAAUGAGGACGGACAGUGAGAGAUGAUGGGGAUUCUGCGGGCGGCUGGCCUUUUCGCUUUUUUUCGCUGUGGGUGUUCUUCGGGAAGGGUGAGAAGGGAUGAACACCGGAGGGACUAAAACAGCAGAGACAGCUAAAUCGCAGCUCAAAAACCACCGAGUCAAUGAGAGCGGGAUGGCUACGCAGAGUCCUCUAAUCCCACCCCCCCCCCUUCUCUCUCUCCUCCACUACCUCUGCGUUCUGUUCCGCUCCCGGCCUCGGCUUCUCAUGAUUUAUGAAUACUGACAUUCUAAGUUUAUUAUUAUUCCCGGUUUGUCUUUUCUUUGAUUUUAAAA
rnacentral:lncRNA from 1 species